rnacentral:rRNA from 1 species
AUUGAACGCUGGCGGCAGGCCUAACCCAUGCUAGUCGAACGAGUGGCGGAUGGGUGAGUAAUGUCUGGGAAACUGCCUGAUGGAGGGGGAUAACUACUGGAAAAGGUAGCUAAUACCGCCUACCAUCAGAUGUGCCCAGAUGGGAUUAGCUUGUUGGUGGGGUAACGUCUCACGAAGGCGACGAACCCUAGCUGGUCUGAGAGGAUGACCAGCCACACUGAAGCUGAGACACGGCCCAGCCUCCUGGGAGAGGCAGAAGAGAGGAAUAUUGCACAAUGGGCGCAAGCCUGAUGCAGCCAUGCCGCGAGUAUGAAGAAGGCCUACGGGUGGUAAAGUACUUUCAGCGGGGAGGCGUUACCCUCAGAAGAAGCAACGGCUAACUCCGUGACAGCAGGCGCGAUAAUUC